rnacentral:rRNA from 1 species
GUGGGAAAUAUUGCGCAAUGGGGGAAACCCUGACGCAGCGACGCCGUGUGAGGGAAGAAGGCUUUCGGGUCGUAAACCUCUGUCAGAAAGGAAGAACCUCCCAAGUCCGAAUAGGGCUUGGGACUGACGGUACUUUCAAAGGAAGCACCGGCUAACUCCGUGCCAGCAGCCGCGGUAAUACGGAGGGUGCAAGCGUUAAUCGGAAUCACUGGGCGUAAAGCGCGCGUAGGCCGCUUUGUAAGUCGGACGUGAAAGCCCUCGGCUCAACCGGGGAACUGCGUUCGAUACUGCGAGGCUUGAGUCCUGGAGAGGGUGGCGGAAUUCCGGGUGUAGGAGUGAAAUCCGUAGAUAUCCGGAGGAACACCGGUGGCGAAGGCGGCCACCUGGACAGGUACUGACGCUGAGGCGCGAAAGCGUGGGGAGCAAACAGGAUUAGAAACCCGUGUAGUCC